GGACUCUUUAGUUGAGGCACAUGGGCUUAGUUUCAGCUCAUAAACUUCGCUAUUCCUUGACAUGUGGAAUCUUAGUUACCCGACCAGGUAUCAAAAUUGCAUCCCCUGCAUUCCUGCUGCUGCUGCUGCAAAGUCGCUUCAGUUGUGUCCUACUCUGUGCAACCCCAUAGACGACAGCCCGCCAGGCUCCCCUGUCCCUGGGAUUCUCCAGAUUUCAAGAAGGCUGCUGUGCCUCUGUCCAUCACAUCUGUGUUCCAGGCAGAACAUGAAGGUAAAUGCAAAAGGCUGAAGAAUAUCAGCUGAGUCUAUCUCUUUAAAAAAAAAGAAGAAGAAGAAUUUUUCUGGACACUGGACAUUGGUGCUCUUGGCUCCUGGGCUUCUGGACUUGGACUGAAUCAUACCAUUGACCUUCCUGGUUCUCUAGCUUGCAGAUGGCAGAUCAUGGGACUUCUCAAGCCCACAUAACUGCGAACCAAU
ensembl:lncRNA